rnacentral:rRNA from 1 species
UUUGGUCAUGGCGAAAGUCUGACCAGCCAUGCCGCGUGAAGGAUGAAGGUCCUCUGGAUUGUAAACUUCUUUUAUCUGGGACGAAAAAAGGGUAUUCUUACUCACUUGACGGUACCAGAGGAAUAAGCACCGGCUAACUCCGUGCCAGCAGCCGCGGUAAUACGGAGGGUGCAAGCGUUAUCCGGAUUUACUGGGUUUAAAGGGUGCGUAGGUGGGCCUGUAAGUCAGUGGUGAAAUCUCCGGGCUUAACCCGGAAACUGCCAUUGAUACUAUAGGUCUUGAAUCAUCUGGAGGUGAGCGGAAUAUGUCAUGUAGCNGGUGAAAUGCUUAGAUACGACAUAGAACACCAAUUGCGAAGGCAGCUCACUACGGGUGCAUUGACACUGAGGCACGAAAGCGUGGGGAUCAAACAGGAUUAGAUACCCUGGUAGUCCACGCCCUAAACGAUGGAUACUCGACAUACGCGAUACACUGUGUGUGUCUGAGCGAAAGCAUUAAGUAUCCCACCUGGGAAGUACGACCGCAAGGUUGAAACUCAAAAAAAUUGACGGA